ensembl:lncRNA
CUCAAUUCUGCCUCAUGCCCCACCACUACAGAGUUUAGCUACUUAGCAAGCUGUAAAAACCGUUAGUGUCAUUAGGUUUAGCUUAUUUAGCUAGCUCAAACCAGAUAAUCCGCCACUGUCACGGUGGAUAUCAGAAAUGGGUUUCGCCAAAGUUUCCAAACAAAGCCAAAAAGGAGAAGGAGAGCAAUGAGCAGCAGCAUCAAACCACCGAGGCCGCCACCAAGCCCAGCAGAGAUGAUGCUUCCGAGCUCCAAAUAGCUCCGCAUGCAGAGUCUUACCCACCCUUCCACAAGCGCCUCCAGGAUAGUGCCUCCACAACCCCUCCACCUGCAACUGUUCCUGAUGAUCUUGGAACAGAGGAGACAGCCCAGACUAGCCUAGAAUCCUAACCUAGCCAUAGGAUUUAUGUCUAAAAAACUUUCAUUUAAUAGCAACUGGUUCAUAGAAAGAGUGUAAUACUCAAUUACUGCAGAAUUGAAUAUAAUUCCAAUGCAAGAACCCAAAUGACGCCCAUGGGUAUAGCUACAUAUCGGUAACCAUGUUUGACAGAGGAAGAACAAUGAUUCCAAGCACCACCCACCUUUUGAAGCUUCCAGUCUGUUAUUCAAACUCAAUCAGCAUGACAGAGUGAUCUCCAGCCUUAUCUUCGUCAACACUCACACCUGUGUUAAUGAGAGAAUGACUGACAUGAUGUCAGCUGUUCCUUUUGUGGCAGGGCUGAAAUGCAGUGGAAAUGUUUUUGGGGGGUGAUUCAGUUCAUUUGCAUGGCAAAUAGGGACUUUGCAAUUAAUUGCAAUUCAUCUGAUCACUCUUCAUAACAUUCUGGAGUAUAUGCAAAUUGCCAUCCUACAAACUGAGGCAGCAGACUUUAUGAAAAUUAAUAUUUGUGUCAUUCUCAAAACGUUUGGCCACAACUGUACUCGCCAUGUCUGAAGCGGGCCUAUAGGCAUAUUUAUUUGGCAAGACAGCUGUGCAUGUCUGCAUCUCAGUAAUAGGCUGUGGGCUGUUUUGGUUAUCUGGAUCUCCAUUCACUUUUUCUUUACUGUGUUUGUUUACUGUUAAUGUAACUAGCCUAAUUAUAGAUUGUCUU